rnacentral:lncRNA from 13 species
CUCAGAAAUGCAGAGAUUGCUCAGAGAGAGGAGUGAAAAGCCCCUUCACCUCUCAGCAGCCGCGCUCUGAGCUGGCCCAGCUGGCUCAUCUUGGCUGGAGGAAGUUGCUCCGUUUUGAGGAACAGCUGUGAGAAGGCUGUAAACCACAGCCACGGGAGGGGAAAAGGCAAAGUUACAGCCUGAGGCUGCCUUUUGGUGGCUUAAGGAUUAAAGAGGGAAAACGUUAACGUGGCAUCCUAAGUGAAGGAUAUCCACACAGCCACCUUAAUGCUCCAGCCAGGGAAAGCUCGUUUUUAUCUCCUGGGCGUUUGCUUGUGUGGCCAGCAAGGAUUUAUUUUUCAGGUAUUUUAUCGGCCUGAUGGCGUCAUUUCACCUCCACGAGUGACACCGUGGCACUGGCUCGGCUGCGUGAGGCUGGGAUGAGUGCAGGAUGUGUGGUGCAGCUUUCCUUGUCUCUGCCUUGUGCAGCAGUGGGUGAGGUGGGUAGGAGCACGGGGCUCUGGGUGCUGCUGUGAGUGCACAGCCAGGCAGGAGCAGUGACCCC